UACGGGGGGAGCAAGCGUUGUUCGGAUUCAUUGGGCGUAAAGGGUGCGUAGGCGGCGCGGUAAGUCGGGUGUGAAAUCUCGGAGCUUAACUCCGAAACUGCAUUCGAUACUGCCGUGCUUGAGGACUGGAGAGGAGACUGGAAUUUACGGUGUAGCGGUGAAAUGCGUAGAUAUCGUAAGGAAGACCAGUGGCGAAGGCGGGUCUCUGGACAGUUCCUGACGCUGAGACACGAAGGCCAGGGGAGCAAACGGG
rnacentral:rRNA from 1 species